AACGAACGCUGGCGGCAUGCCUAACACAUGCAAGUCGAACGAGACCUUCGGGUCUAGUGGCGCACGGGUGCGUAACGCGUGGGAACCUGCCCUUAGGUUCGGAAUAACUCCCCGAAAGGGGUGCUAAUACCGGAUAAUGUCUUCGGACCAAAGAUUUAUCGCCUUUGGAUGGGCCCGCGUUGGAUUAGCUAGUUGGUAGGGUAAAAGCCUACCAAGGCGACGAUCCAUAGCUCGUCUGAGAGGAUGAUCAGCCACACUGGGACUGAGACACGGCCCAGACUCCUACGGGAGGCAGCAGUGGGGAAUAUUGGACAAUGGGCGAAAGCCUGAUCCAGCAAUGCCGCGUGAGUGAUGAAGGCCUUAGGGUUGUAAAGCUCUUUUACCCGGGAUGAUAAUGACAGUACCGGGAGAAUAAGCGCCGGCUAACUCCGUG
rnacentral:rRNA from 1 species